ensembl:misc_RNA Metazoa_SRP Metazoan signal recognition particle RNA
GCCGGGCGAGGUGGCGGGCGCCUGUAGUCCCAGCUACUCGGGAGGCUGAGGCAGGAGAAUGGCGUGAACCCAGGAGGCGGAGCUUGCAGUGAGCCGAGAUCGGGCCACUGCACUCCAGCCUGGGCAAGAGUGCCAGACUCUGCCUCAA